GGGAUAGCCUGGCAGCCAAGGCUAGGGGAAGAGAGUGUCCUGCCUCAAUCCUCGCAUCCUGUAUCCACCUGGCCUGGAAGCCUGCAGAGGAGGGUGGUUCUGCAUUGUUUGAAUUCCUGCAGAAGACUCUCCUUGCUGGGGCCACUUGUCUGGGAGCCACAGCUGACAUCAGAGGCUCUGCCACUUUCAGGAUUUUACAACAUGACUCCAGCAGUGCUACACAAAACCUGAGGACCCCAUGGCACCAACGAGGGAUUGACAGUUUUUCCCUCCUUUUAUGAUGGAGAAGGAUACUGAGACGUCUAGAGGUGGAGAGAGUGACUGCCCCUGAGGAAAUGCCUAACCAACUGCACUAGAGGCAACCAGACCAGAGGGACAAAGAAUGUGAGCUCAGAUUUCCUAUGGAUUUUCUGUAAAACUUUGAGCAUCUAUAAAUGAAGAUAAUGAUGGUGAUUUCUUCAAGGAACUACUCUGAGGAUUCAACAAGGUCACAUUUGUUAAGUCUUUUCUAUGACUGAUGAGCAAGGAGGAAGGCUGGGUUGACAAUGGAGAGUGGCAGGAGGAGGGAUCUGAAGAGAGCUAUGGAUUCAACUAUAUUGAACACCAGACUGUUUAGCAGGGAAGGUGGAAAGGAAGGGAGAGGGGAUAUAGGUGGGAGAAAUGCAGGGAGAAGGAGGCAGGAGAGGGGAGGGGAAAGAGGAAGAAGAGGGGACGGGGAGGGAAGAGGGAGCAAAUGCUAUCUAGAAACUUCUAAAUGGUCUCUGUGCUAGAAAAGCAAGACAAGCAGGGAAAAAUAUGAGACUGACCAAGCAUCUGCGGGAACACUGAUGGACCUGUUGCCUUGGUGACAUGACUGACUACUCAAUUGUUUGAUUUUCUUAGGCUUCCUCAGUGACUUUAAAGCCAAAAGCAGGGAAAGCAAUGGUUGAGUUGACCUUCAUUUUGAGGUUAUUAGAAAAGCUGGAUUAGAAGGCCAAGAGGCCCAGGACACAAAACUACCCUAGGGAUUAAACUGAAAAGAAAUGAAGCCAAAAACCCAGGGACUAAACUAAGAGACUGGGAGGGGCUUGGGAGGAGCUUGGGAACUGCUUGGUCUAGGGAGAGAGGGCAAGGCAGGAUGUGGUGGACAGAGUGAUCACAAGGGCUCUGAGGUGGAGCCUCUGAUGCUAACUCUACAUGGGGGAGCAGUGGCGUGCAAAUGGAAGCAAGGCCACUCGUCCCAUCCCCUGACCUCCACACCCCACCAUGGUGGAGCUCCAGCCAUUCUGUCCCAUCAGCAUGUUUUGUUGCCAAAGGAUUCAGCAAUUUGUAACUACCUGUAGAAAAUGGCUUCAGCAAGCAUCAUUGUACGUGGCAAGGCAACAUGAUUAGUCAAAACUGGAGGGAAGACUGAGGGAAGAAACACAAAUCUACAGUACGGAACAUCAACCGACACGGGAUUUUAAUCAACCGCCCAUAUCUAUACCUGAAAGUCUAAACUUUAAGCAAGUUGAUUGAUGUAAGGCACUUUAUUCACGCUGAUCAAAAUUCCUGUUAAAGGAUGCGCCUUUUCCCACCAACCUCUGGGGUAUACGCCAAAGAAGCAUCUCAAAAAAUGUUUUUCCUUCCACAUUUUCAUCUUGACAUUCCUCUCUGCUCACCAUGGUACCCUCAACACACAGACACAAAUGCAUGGUGCAUACAUGUUCUUCCUCCCUCCAUGUAAGUUAUGAGAUCCAUUCAUUCAGUAAAUAUAUGCCAGGCAUGUUCUAGAGACUAGGGCCACAGUGGUUAGAGAUAAACUACUUGCUCAUGAAAAGCUUAGAUUCCAAGAGACAAACACAUUCACCAAUAAUUUCAGGGGCAAAAUGUUAUAAAAAAUAUCAUGAGUUCCUUAUAGUGAUUUUUAUACAUUGGUAUUAUGUGAAAUAAUCACAGACUAUAUACAUGUGCCCAUUAUCCUUUAGGACGAGGACAAAAAUUAUUAUGCAAUAGGGACCAGUGGCAGAGGAGAAGAUUCGCCUUCUGUUUCUCUAGCUCAGAAAACCACAGGAAAACUAGCAUGGAGCAUACCUAUGGUCCCAGCACUGGGGGGUGGAGGUAGGAUGAUCAGGCCACCCCCAGCUACACAAGAAGACCGAUACGUCAGAAAAGACACAGAAAGAAACCACAUGGAAUGUCUGGACUAGUUAUACACAAAUCAGAAACACAUUGGUGCUUUUUAAAAGAGUACGUCUCACAAACGCAUGCCCACCCCUGUCUUACCUUCAAAGACAGCUAGUUAAAACUGGCACUGCCCAGGAUUUUCCUGUCUCUGCAACCCAUCAAAAGGCAGAACCUUGAUCUGAGGUUUUUGAGUAUAAUUUCCCAAUCCAUGAUUUCUAAUUCAAGAUCUGAGAUACAAAUACCAGAGUUCUUCCGCUAAGAACUAGUGUACAGGCAAUCACUUCUGAGCAAUUCGGUAGGCUAUCCUUUAAAAGGGAACAGUGUAAGCAUUGCUUUGCUCUGUGGAAGACAUACUCUGGCAUUUCACUCCACACCCAAACUGAGUAAGAGUGACAGGACUGAUUUUUUUCCAACUUACAGAUGAAGAAAGUUAGGGGUUCAAUUAAGUUCUCCCAAAUUAUUUCUCUUAUCCAGCAGGGCCUUGUUUUAUCAUCCGGUUGUUUCUAGAGGCCACACCCAUGGUCUUUAGACUUUAGUGAAUUUACUCCCUCCGGUCCAAGAUCGCACUUGAACAUACACACCAAUCUCUUUUAAGCCCUGAAAGCCAAGUUCAAUAGCAGGUUUGUUAUGCUUACAACCUACUCAAGGUGACCAAGUUAAGCCAGGAGGAGGGCGGGGGUCAUUUUGUGAAGACCUCUCAACCAACAGCACAGUUGGUGGUGUUCUCUAGAAAACCUGAAUUCGCCAAGCAGGAAACACAAGUUCUGAAAGAUCGAUGUUCUCUUUUCCUACUGUGCUCGACCCGCAGUUGCAGGGACAAAGUGAUAAGACGAUACAAAACGGUGAAUAAAACCUCAGCCGCAAAGAUACCCAUCUGAUAUCAUGUGUCUCAUGACUCCUCCUAGGAUUCCUCGGACACUUAGAGGAAGCCAGGACAUGCCUGAAAGCAUAAAUAAGGCUGAGGAGUCCAUGUCCAGCCUCAGGUUCCUUCCAGCUCUCUGCUACUGUAACUCCAGGUGGAUGUGCCACCCAUCAGAGUGGGGUGUGUUUUCUUUCAGCUUCUCAGAGAGCCACUGAGGAAUCAAGAGCUGAAACACGGCUCUAGGUCUUCUAAGAUCCACACGUAGACAAAAAAGUCAACCACUGGUGAGUUCACGCUGUGGGGAAUCCAUCCCGACCGCUGCUCUGUUUUCUGUUGUGAGCCCUGUCCUGUCCUCCCCAUCUGAUGUGCAGUGGGAAGCCUCACUCUGAGACAGCAUCUCAUCUUCACAAGGAAUCCCUCAAGAGCCCCUGAGUUAGCAGCAAUGUCCCUUUGGCCAGCCCUGCCACUGCCAUGUGACCUACAACUCCUAGAGCUCAGAGCCUUCCUCCAAACUGGGUCACAUCUUUGCAGGAAAGGAAGACUGGGCAGGGCCCUCCUGGCCUUAAUGUAUGGAGCCUUCCUUCUAACUCUGUAGUAUUUGAACAUUCUAGUUUUCCAGGGCUGAGACUGUGAAGUUUGUGGUAAAACUGACCAUCCAAACUGUGUUCUAUAUCCUUUAAAUGCUGCAUAGCACUAACCACACACAUCGUGUCUCUGAUAUUCUCUUACAUGCUGCAUAAAACCAUGCAGACUGUGUCCUAUAUGCUGUGCAUGCUGUAUUAAACCAAACUUUGAUUUUUUUUUUUGACAACGUCCUGACCAGCCUCAACUUGUGCAAUUUUUUUUCUUUCUCUGACUCCCUAAUGCCGGGAGGCAGGUGACAUCACAGCUUCCUCGGGCCUUGUGCGUUUUGAUGUAAGGAAUACAUGCAGAAAGAAACCCAAAGGAACAAAAGAUUAUAAAUUAGUUUUUAAAAAUAUUUUUAAGAUUGAAUUUGUUUAGAAUUAAAUUGUAAUAAAAAUUAACUACAUGAACAUUUUCCAAAUCACAUCUGUUUUAGUAAGUAUUCUAUACAAGUUCUUUCCAGAAUUUCCAGAAUUAUAUGUGAACAGUUCAGAUCAGCUCCACAUAUUGAAGAACAUCUUUGGUUUUUUCAUCUAUUAUGCAUUCUGAGUCUUGGACACACUGUCUCCUAUAUUCUUGUACAUGCUGUAUAAAAACAGCCAUACAGACUGUGUCUCCUAUAUUCUUGUACAUGCUGUAUGUAUAAAACCAACCAUACAGACGGUGUCCUAUAUUUUCAUACAUGCUAAAUAAAACUAACCAUACAGACUGUGUUCUAUAUUCUCAUACAUGCUGUAUAAAAACCAAACUUUGUCCUUCAAUAAUCAAGGUAUCCUACUUUUAAAUACUUUCUCAAAUAUUAAA
rnacentral:lncRNA from 1 species